CCACUCCCAGGAGGCUUCUGUUCCUCUCAUAACAGCCAGUGGGGUGGAGACGCAUCCCCAAAUCAACCACCACUCUAGAAAGUGGAAAACAGCUGGAGCCACCCGGUGAGGCUGUGGGAAAGGGUCACAGAAUCCCAGGAUGGCAGUGUUCUAGACUGUUGCAGUCGUCUGGUCAAGUUUGAGUUUUAGGCUGAGUGCGGUGGCUCAUGACUGUAAUCUCAACACUUUGAGAGGCUGAUGCAGGAGGAUCACUUGAGCCCAGGAA